UUGAACUUAGGUGCGAUAACACCGGACGUUCUUAUGAUGGCCGUCGCCCUAAUAAAGGCGGCUUCAAUUUCGGCCAGUUCAACAAAGCUUUGACGGGCGCGGAAGGGACAAGUACACGCCAGCGAAGCCCCAGACAAGUGACAGUGAGGAACGGUGGCACAGCCAGGUGAUACCACACGAGUUACCGGCCGAUGUAGUGUUAAGGAAGCCUAACCCCAAGUCGCUUUCAUCUUCCACGAUGAGUGACACUGACGUGGCCGUGCUGACCCAUUUGCUCCUCGGCAUGUCUGACGAAGAAUUGCGCUCCCUGCAUGGCAGCAGUAUGUGGUGGCUACCGGAUCUUGACACUGCUUCGCAGAUUGAAGCGAUCAACGCCAUCCUCGGUUCACUGCGAAUGUUUCACCCCAUGGACAAGCGUGCCUUCUGCGUCGCCUGGCUUUAUUGCUGCCUCGCAGAGCGGGAACUUAUCCGCUGCUGGCAUUGGUAUUCCCUGAUCCCCUGUGCCGCGCUGUUGACCGCUGAUUUCAAUCUGCAUGAGCGUCUAGCGACCGCCUUGGAUUACCCCGGAGGCCACACUAUACACGCGAAGACUGAGCGCGACGAAGCCACCUACGCUUGCAUUAUGACCACUCAUCCGAGACGCGACACAAUGGAGCACGAGGUCAUCUGUUUGUGCAUGCCGCGUUCGCUGCCGUUCCUUUUCGCCAGUGUGCCGCUGCAAGACGAGCACCGCUUCAAUGUAGCACUCGAGUCUGUAUUGCAAAUAAGUGUCCAUAGCAUCUAUGCCGGCUAUAGCAUCCAGCUGCGUGAUGUAUUUGCCAGCGCCCGCGCGGCUUGCAUGGGGCCGGCACCGGAGCCAACUGCCCCCGAAAAGCGCCGGGAAAGUAAUCUCUGACCGCCAUGUCCUCCGACAGACGUGAGCUGACAGUUGCCAACGAAUCCGUUUCAACGUUCUUUCCUGCACCAGCAUGGCUCUUACAGCAGAUGACGAGGAACGCAAUCGCAGUUUCUGUGCACAGUCUGCGACGAGGUCCUCAACGAGGGCUCGACUUGUGCAAUCCUAUGCCAGAAUAUCACCAACUCGAUCUGCUUGGAGCGUCCCAUAUGCUGAAGGCGACGUAGCAAAAGACCUCUGUAGGGCAGGUCGGGGAGGCGUUACUACACAGAGAAUACGGUGCUCCAGUCGAAAUGAAUUCAAGGUUCCUAGAGUUUCUGGCGGAAAAAUUACCUUCACGAACACGCCGUCCUUCCACUCAACAGUAGACCUACAAUGUUUCUCACGAUUUCUCUGUGUUGUAUCCGUGAAUGCUGUAAUAUUUAACGACGAAGAACUUGUGUUUAUAGAACUCUAGCGCAUUACUUGCUGUUCACGUCGACGAUCACGACUAUUUUAACCUUGGUGACUCUGGAACAAAAGUUAGGUAUAUUAUUUACAUUAGCCUUCAUAGUUCAACUCGAUAUGCGAUCGGGGCAAGUUGGGAACGAUUUCUUCCGACUACCGCAUAGGUGGGCGGGCUUAACAUAGCAACAUUUCCGACAACGUAUUAGGUAAAGCCUUCAUAAAAAAGAUUGAUGCAGGCGAUCACGAAUCGCCGUGCAGCAUAGUCUCCUUUUGAAACCACUGAGCCAUGCGGAAUUCAUUUGCACGUGUCUGUAGCAGGACUCACCUUUGCAGAGCCCAUCUCUGGUCUGAGAGAAUUUAGUAAAGCAUUUGUAAUCUCCACUGCUAUGUACACCACCCGUGCUGUGCUUUUAUUCUUUCGGACGCCUUUUAUUACAAGUUAGCUGCUGUGUUAUGCUUCUGUGUACAACUUGCUUGUGUAAUAAAUUUGAGAUCUUUUGUCUUUCA